rnacentral:rRNA from 1 species
AGUGAACGCUGGCGGCGUGCUUAACACAUGCAAGUCGAGCGAAUUUCAACAGCGUAUCGUUGGAGUUAGCGGCAGACGGGUGAGUAAUAUUUAGACAAUCUUCCCUCGAGUGGGAAACAACCUGGCGAAAGUCGGGCUAAUGUCCCAUAAGACCACGGAGUGGCAUCAUUCAGAGGUCAAAGGUCCGCAAGGGCCGCUGGAGGAGGAGUCUAAAUCCUAUCAUGGUAGUUGGUGAGGUAACGGCUCACCAAGCCUACGACGGGUAGCCGGCCUGAAAGGGUGAUCGGCCACACUGGCACUGAGACACGGGCCAGACUCCUACGGAGGCAGCAGUGGGGAAUUUUGGACAAUGGGGCAACCCUGAUCCAGCGACGCCGCGUG